UACGUAGGGAGCAAGCGUUGUCCGGAAUCAUUGGGCGUAAAGCGCGCGUAGGCGGCCCUGUAAGUCCGUUGUGAAAGUCAAAGGCUCAACCUUUGAAAGCCGAUGGAUACUGCAGGGCUAGAGUCCGGAAGAGGCGAGUGGAAUUCCUGGUGUAGCGGUGAAAUGCGCAGAUAUCAGGAAGAACACCCGUGGCGAAGGCAGCUCGCUGGGACGGUACUGACGCUGAGGCGCGAAAGCGUGGGGAGCAAACAGG
rnacentral:rRNA from 1 species